AGGAACUGGGGGCACAAGUUACAGGAGUGCCCAGUACAAAGUGUUGCCUGAAGACGCCACAACUCACUCACGAAGUGUCAGAAGCAACUUCUGUUUCUGGAAUUCUUGAACUUCAUUUUCUUGGCUAGACCUACUUCCUGAAGGUUUCACUGAUACAGACUAGCCUCGCAGCCUCACAGACCUAACGCCACUCUCCACCUGCCAGCCGUGCCCCGAGGGUGUGGCCUUGCCACCAGACCUGCUCCACUGACUGCAACUGGAUGAGCUAAUCCCUUCCACUCCAUUAUGCCAGCAACACAGUGGCCAAAAUAAUGUCAAAUCCC
ensembl:lncRNA